rnacentral:rRNA from 1 species
UACGUAGGUGGCAAGCGUUGUCCGGAUUUACUGGGCGCAAAGAGCGCGCAGGCGGUCGGAUAAGUCGAAUGUGAAAGCCCCCGGCUCAACUGGGGAGGGUCAUUCGAUACUGUUCGACUCGAAGGCAGGAGAGGGAAGUGGAAUUCCCGGUGUAGUGGUGAAAUGCGUAGAUAUCGGGAGGGAACACCAGUGGCGAAGGCGACUUCCUGGCCUGUUCUUGACGCUGAGGCGCGAAAGCUAGGGGAGCAAACGGG